rnacentral:rRNA from 1 species
GUAGUCUCGCACAGAUGCAUAUCAAUAAGCGGAGGAAAAGAAACUAACAAGGAUUCCCCUAGUAACGGCGAGCGAAGCGGGAAGAGCUCAAAUUUGAAAUCUUAAAGGGUUUCCCUUUACGAAUUGUAGUUUAAAGAAGUGUUUUCUGUUGAGGUUUUGGUAAAAGUUCUUUGGAAUAGGACAUCAUAGAGGGUGAGAAUCCCGUAUUUGACCUUUACUUUCAACUUUGUGAUACACUUUCAAAGAGUCGGAUUGUUUGGGAAUGCAGUCCAAAAUGGGUGGUAAAUUUCAUCUAAAGCUAAAUAUUGGCGAGAGACCGAUAGCGAACAAGUACCGUGAGGGAAAGAUGAAAAGAACUUUGAAAAGAGAGUUAAACAGUACGUGAAAUUGUCAAAAGGGAAGCGUUUAGACACCAGUGUUGUUUUUCUGAAAAUCAAUUAAAGAACUGUUUAUGCUAAGUUGUUUAGACUUUAUCAGCUAACUGUUUAGUCUUGAGCUUUUCUUUAAUGCACUUUUCAGUUAACAAGUCAACAUCAAUUUCUUUUGCUGUAAGAAAGCUUGAGGAAGGUGGCUUGAGAUUCGUCUUAAGUGUUUAUAGCCUCUUGCCUAUGCAGUCGGAGAGAUUGAGGUCUGCAGGCGUAGAUCCUUCGGGGCUAAAUGCAUUUGUGCUAAGUUAUAGCAUUUUAUAGACAACUUGUUGACUAUGAUUUGUCUUGUAGCUUACUCGCUUAUGUUAUUUUACCUACGCUUAGGAUGUUGACGCAUGAGAUAUACGC